AGAGACGAGUCAGAGUUUGAUCCUGGCUCAGGACGAACGCUGGCGGCGUGCCUAACACAUGCAAGUCGAGCGGAGACAAGAAAUUAGCUUGCUAAGUUCUUGUUUUAGCGGCGGACGGGUGAGUAACGCGUGAGCAACCUUUCUCUCAGUGGGGAAUAACACAGCGAAAGUUGUACUAAUACCGCAUGAGACCACGGUGUCGCAUGACACAGGGGUCAAAGAUUUAUCGCUGAGAGGUGGGCUCGCGUCUGAUUAGAUAGUUGGUGGGGUAACGGCCUACCAAGUCGACGAUCAGUAGCCGACCUGAGAGGGUGAUCGGCCACAUUGGGACUGAGACACGGCCCAA
rnacentral:rRNA from 1 species